GGAGAGGUGGCAGAGUGGUCUAAUGCACUGGUCUUGAAAACCAGCGAGGGGGCAACUCCUCCGGGAGUUCGAAUCUCCCUCUCUCCGCCA
rnacentral:tRNA from 2 species